AUACGGAGGGUGCAAGCGUUGUCCGGAUUUAUUGGAUUUAAAGGGUGCGCAGGUGGGUAUUUAAGUCUGGUUUGAAAGCAGGUGGCUCAACCAUCUGACGUGGCUGGAAACUGGAUAUCUUGAAUGGGUUGGCGGUAGCCGGAAUGGGUCAUGUAGCGGUGAAAUGCAUAGAUAUGACCCGGUACACCGAUUGCGAAGGCAGGCUACUACGACUUGAUUGACACUGAGGCACGAGAGCAUGGGUAGCGAACAGGAUUAGAUACCCUGGUAGUCCAUGCCGUAAACGAUGAUUACUGGCUGUGUGUGUUCAAGCAUGCGUGGCUGAGCGAAAGCGUUAAGUAAUCCACCUGGGGAGUACGCUGGCAACAGUGAA
rnacentral:rRNA from 1 species